rnacentral:rRNA from 1 species
UACGAAGGGGGCUAGCGUUGUUCGGAAUCACUGGGCGUAAAGCGCACGUAGGCGGAUUGUUAAGUCAGGGGUGAAAUCCUGGAGCUCAACUCCAGGACUGCCUUUGAUACUGGCGAUCUUGAGUCCGGGAGAGGUGAGUGGAACUGCGAGUGUAGAGGUGAAAUUCGUAGAUAUUCGCAAGAACACCAGUGGCGAAGGCGGCUCACUGGCCCGGUACUGACGCUGAGGUGCGAAAGCGUGGGGAGCAAACAGG